UACGGAGGAUGCGAGCGUUAUCCGGAUUUAUUGGGUUUAAAGGGUGCGCAGGCGGAUUUUUAAGUCAGCGGUCAAAUCGUGGGGCUCAACCCCAUCCAGCCGUUGAAACUGGGGAUCUAGAGUGUGCGAGAGGUAUGCGGAAUGCGUGGUGUAGCGGUGAAAUGCAUAGAUAUCACGCAGAACCCUGAUUGCGAAGGCAGCAUACCGGUGCACAACUGACGCUCAGGCACGAAAGCGUGGGUAUCGAACAGG
rnacentral:rRNA from 1 species